GACACCACUCGUACUUGGAUCUAUCCAAUUCAGCAGAUCGGCAUCAGGUAUUCAAUAUAUCUCUGAAUUUCAUACCAAAUAAAUAGUAGUAGCAUAGAUCUGAACAGUAGUAGUUUAGAUCUAAACAGAAAUAGCAUAAAUCUAAUCUGUACCAAGAUCUAGAAGUGAUCACUAUUCCAAAACUUAGAAAUAGCAAUCAGGCCUCA
rnacentral:lncRNA from 1 species